rnacentral:rRNA from 1 species
AGAUUGAACGCUGGCGGCAGGCCUAACACAUGCAAGUCGAGCGGCAGCACGGGUACUUGUACCUGGUGGCGAGCGGCGGACGGGUGAGUAAUGCCUAGGAAUCUGCCUGAUAGUGGGGGAUAACGUUCGGAAACGGACGCUAAUACCGCAUACGUCCUACGGGAGAAAGUGGGGGAUCUUCGGACCUCACGCUAUCAGAUGAGCCUAGGUCGGAUUAGCUAGUUGGUAGGGUAAAGGCCUACCAAGGCUACGAUCCGUAACUGGUCUGAGAGGAUGAUCAGUCACACUGGAACUGAGACACGGUCCAGACUCCUACGGGAGCAGCAGUGGGAAUAUUGGACAA